ensembl:lncRNA
AUGUUCACUGGCACAGACAUCGAGAGACAAGCAAACACUUACCCAAGUGCAGAGUGCUCGCUGCUGCAUUGCAGAGUUUACUGGCAUAAAACGAUGGGGGUAGCAUGUUGGCAGUGCUGUCAGUUUCUCCAUGGGCUACCUUUUUCCUUGGAGGGGCCAACUGGAGUGAAGAAAGAGAUAUCCCAACCCCUCUGUGAGCUUUGGCUUUUCCAUGGUGACGCCAGUUUUCAGAUCCGUGGCUUCACAGGUGAGAGCUGCAAACCUGCUCUAUGCAGGGCCACCAUGGCAUCCUCAGGAGACCACUGUUAGCCCAGGGGGGAGUCAGUGAGGAUACCCAGGUUAAAACCACUCCAUCUUCCUGCUAGUGCCCAACUCUAGAUACAGGAAGAUGAUUUUAAUAGGUUUCAAGGGAUUCUUUAGAUGGAUCUUGGAAUGGAUCUUGUUAUCAAACAUUUUGAAAACGAAAGGCCAGGGGAAAAAUGGAUUUAAUGUAUGUGGGUUUUUUUCCCCGACCAAAAAUAUACUGAGGACUGAUGAACAGUCUGAAAAGUGGUACUUCAGUAAUGUCUUUUAUUUCUUCACUUGUAGCAAUAGUAGUGUUUAAAAUCUUACAACUUGAAAUUUGUGGAGGAGACUGAUGGAGUAAGGGAUGGAAGAGCUGCCAUUGCUGCUGAUUGCCACUUCAAAUCCUUGGGGGAAGAGUCUUCUGGAAGUGAAUGGGAACUGAUCACCUCUCCACAGACUUCCUGAGUCAUCACACACAGAAUUUAACAGAAAAAAAAUAUUUCACUUCCAAUUGAUAUAAUGUGUCAUAAAAGUGCUCAAAGACAAAAGAUGUGUUCAUUUCCACAGUCUAAGUUAUCAGAUGGGAUAAAUUAACUCUCUGAUUUCUGUGAAGUUCUGUAUGGAUUCCAUCCCUAAAAAGGUACAUUUUCAUAUGUAUAUUUGCAUUGAUUUAGUACCUCCAUUUCUGGGACUCCCACAAAAAGAUAACAGCCAGUUUUACAUUUACUUGAGGCCUGACUGAGGGGUUUAUCUCCAUGUAAAUUUUCCAGCCCAGUUGUGAAACCUCUGAAAUGGAUGGUAAAGAAAGUUUUGAUGAAACUUAACUAUGGUUGGGUACUUACUUCACUGCUGUAAGGGCAAAUCCCCCAGUCGCUGUCAGUGGGUGAGCAGCCGGGCUUUCAUCCCUCCAUUCUUCACUGUAAUCUUCAUUAACAUGAGAGCUGGUGUUUUGCUCCCCACACAUGGAUGGCAUACUGUUUGAACUCCAGGAGGCUGCUGGGAUAAAGGGAUGUGUACAGGCCUCUCUGCUGACCACAGCCAGCAUUUCUUUAGCAAGCGUAGCAUGAAUAUAAACGUUACAUACACCACAAUGGAGAGGAAUUACUAUGCACACUAUCACUUUCAAGCCUUUGAAAGAAACAGAAGCAGAAGGAGGUUCUUGCACUUUCUGCCGACAUCAUCUUUACUGUCCAUCCAUUUGUUCCCCAUUUAGCCUCCCCACUGGCAAAGCCUCUAUUAUGUGCUGAAAGACCAGACAAUGGGAGCCCACUACGCCUGGCGAAUGCGCGCAUUGUUCCAUGGGCUCCCUAUAGAAAUCCCUGUGUUCGCAUGACCCGUUUUCCAAAGUUUCGGUUUUUUCUUUCCUGAAAGGGGAGGGUGAGAGGAAAAGGGACAGUGUCUCACAGCUCUGUGCAGAUUAGUGGUAUGUUCAUGCUCAUAUAUUGAGAUGGAUAAAAUAGCCAUAAAUUUUUUCCCAAAGUGCUUAUUUGUAAUGCAUGCAUGAACUCACUUAACAAGCUUAAAAUAUUUAGUGAGCACUGAAAUGAAUGGAGAGUGUGGGAGGGGGGACAAAACUAGCAGAGAUAAUUGAAUACACUUAGCAGUUAUAGCAGCUUUACAUAGCUGUAUCAUAUUCUCUAUGGAUAGCACAGCUGGGACAAUAUGGUUAGAGUUUUAAAAUAUCUAGGGAUUUCUGUCUUAAGAUAGUUAUCAAUAAUUGCAAACUUAAACAUUAAAUAUUUUUGGCUUAGUUAAAAUAUAUAUCUCUUUAUUUAAUGCAUGAUAAAAUACCAUAAAAUUGAGAACGUUUUCCCCUUGGCAUUUCUUCAGGACUCAGGUAAGCAGGAGGGUCUCCAAGUGGGGCUGUCCAGGAACUAAAGUCUGUCUUGGGGAAACCACAGGCUGCCAAAGACAGGUGGAUUAAAACACAGAAGACAGAAGUCCCUCAGACUUGACAGUGUUUGAAAUGCCAAAUGAGAGCAAGAAGAUGGGUUGCUAUAGCACAGGUUCACAUCAUCUGUGAAACUGAUAAAGUCCUUCAGAAAUGGAGAAAAUCUUGCCAGAUUAUAUGGUAAAUUUCCAGCUUCAUUCCAGCUGAGCCAAAAUUUGCACCCGUGUCCUUGUCCUGACUACAGCUAGGACCUUAAACCUACAGACUACAGGAACACAUCCAUCUCAGCUCACACCUAAUUAACUGCUUAAUUAGAGCAGCACUGGGGAAACUCUGCUCUUUGUUUUCCCUUUUUCUCUGGUGCCUGAUGCUACUUGUAGCAGCACAAAGCUCUUUGAGUGGCUGAGCCUUCCUGGUCACACAUGGCAGGUUCAAGGUGAAGGUCUCUUUUGCUGGGCUUUUCCUCUCUCUUCUGAGAUAAUCGACUUUGAUGUCACCAUGAAGCUCCUCCCCAGGUCACGCUGCUCGCACUGCAGCCAGUACCUCAGCUAGAGCUAGAAACUAAUGCACAGCUGUUUAAUCUGGAAGAGUGAUAUGAAGGUCACUGAGGAAGGUAAUGCGGUCCUGUUGAUUGAACAUGUGGAUAUGGGCACCACAAAAACAUAAUCUACUUUGCUGGGAAUGCGAUAAACCAGGUUUAUGUAUGCAGUUGGCAAGCACUACUUCUGAGUGUUACUCCAUCAGAUAAUCCAGGCAGCAGAGCAUUCAUGAGUCCUGGUCCCCUAAUAUAGCUUGAAUCUAAGGAUUAGGUAAUUUUCAUAUUUGUAGGGUUUUCUAAAACAACAUUAUUUUUUUCCUAGUUGUUUUCUGAUUUUUACUUAUGAAAUACUUAUUUCAAAUUUACCAAGCAAAAAUAAAAAACUUAUUUACCAAGCA